rnacentral:rRNA from 1 species
AACGGGUGAGUAACACGUGAGUAAUUUACCUUUAAGUCGGGGAUAACCUUGUGAAAGCGAGGGUAAUACCUGAUGUGUCCUCUAGUGCUUAAGUACAGGAGGGUAAAGGAAGCUGGUAACAGCUUCCGCUUAUAGAUGAGCUCGCGUCCUAUCAGCUUGUUGGUAGGGUAAUGGCCUACCAAGGCAAUUGACGGGUAGCUAGCCUGAGAGGGCGGUUAGCCACACGGGGACUGAGACACUGCCCCGACUCC